rnacentral:rRNA from 1 species
GAGUUUGAUCAUGGCUCAGAUUGAACGCUGGCGGCAGGCCUAACACAUGCAAGUCGAGCGCGAAAGGCUUUCGGGCUGAGUAGAGCGGCGGACGGGUGAGUAACGCGUAGGAAUCUACCUGGUAGUGGGGGACAACUUGGGGAAACUCAAGCUAAUGCCGCAUACGCCCUAUGGGGGAAAGCGGGGGACCUUCGGGCCUCGCGCUAUCAGAUGAGCCUGCGUAGGAUUAGCUUGUUGGUGAGGUAAAGGCUCACCAAGGCGACGAUCCUUAGCUGGUCUGAGAGGAUGAUCAGCCACACUGGGACUGAGACACGGCCCAGACUCCUACGGAGGCAGCAGUGGGGAAUAUUGCGCAAUGGGGGCAACCCUGACGCAGCCAUGCCGCGUGUGUGAAGAAGGCCUUCGGGUUGUAAAGCACUUUAAGUGGGGAGAAAAGGGUAGCUGUUAAUAGCGGUUACCUGUGAUGUUACCCACAGAAUAAGCACCGGCUAACUCCGUGCCAGCAGCCGCGGUAAUACGGAGGGUGCGAGCGUUAAUCGGAAUUACUGGGCGUAAAGCGCGCGUAGGUGGUUUGUUAAGUCAGCUGUGAAAGCCCCGGGCUCAACCUGGGAACUGCAGUUGAUACUGGCCGACUAGAGUACGAGAGAGGGAGGUAGAAUUCCAUGUGUAGCGGUGAAAUGCGUAGAUAUAUGGAGGAAUACCGGUGGCGAAGGCGGCCUCCUGGCUCGAUACUGACGCUGAGGUGCGAAAGCGUGGGGAUCAAACAGGAUUAGAUACCCUGGUAGUCCACGCCGUAAACGAUGUCUACUAGCCGUUGGGAGACUUGAUUUCUUAGUGGCGCAGCUAACGCAAUAAGUAGACCGCCUGGGGAGUACGGCCGCAAGGUUAAAAUUCAAAUGAAUUGACGGGGGCCCGCACAAGCGGUGGAGCAUGUGGUUUAAUUCGAUGCAACGCGAAGAACCUUACCAGGUCUUGACAUCCAGAGAACUUUCCAGAGAUGGAUUGGUGCCUUCGGGAGCUCUGAGACAGGUGCUGCAUGGCUGUCGUCAGCUCGUGUCGUGAGAUGUUGGGUUAAGUCCCGUAACGAGCGCAACCCUUGUCCUUAGUUGCCAGCGAGUAAUGUCGGGAACUCCAAGGAGACUGCCGGUGACAAACCGGAGGAAGGUGGGGACGACGUCAAGUCAUCAUGGCCCUUACGACCUGGGCUACACACGUGCUACAAUGGAACGCACAGAGGGCAGCAAAGGCGCGAGCUGGAGCCAAUCCCACAAAACGUUUCGUAGUCCGGAUCGGAGUCUGCAACUCGACUCCGUGAAGUCGGAAUCGCUAGUAAUCGUGGAUCAGAAUGCCACGGUGAAUACGUUCCCGGGCCUUGUACACACCGCCCGUCACACCAUGGGAGUGGGUUGCUCCAGAAGUGGUUAGCCUAACCUUCGGGGGGGCGAUCACCACGGAGUGAUUCAUGACUGGGGUGAAGC